CACUCUGUUCUGGAUGGAAAGAAAGAAGGGAAGGAAAAUAGGAAGAAAGAGAGGACAAGAAGACUGAAUGAGAGAAAAAUAGGAGAACACGAGACAGAAAAGAGGAACUAAGAAAGAAUAGAGAAAGUGAAUGAGAAAUAGGGAAUCAGAGAGAGAAUUAGAAACCCUAGAAAGAGGGUUUCAACUCUGAGAAAAGAAGAAAUGGAGGAAAAAGAGAAGAAAUAGAAAGAGAUCAGAGAAAGAAGUUAGAGAA
rnacentral:misc_RNA from 1 species